rnacentral:sRNA from 1 species
GGACUGAGGUCGUCUGGCUUCGGCAUCUGUCACUCCUCUAUCUGCAGAGCUGACUUUAUCUGUCUAACUAGUCGGAAAGGUGGCACGCUCCUCCCUCACUGGUCCAUGUGUGGCCUGCCUCACAUUGCAUCCCAAGGCAAAAGAGUGGAUCUUUUAAGCUCUACCUGGACUUCUCUUCAGUCAAAGGUAUCUGAAUAGCUGAGUUAUUUUAGUGGAAACUCUGAAUAUGGAAUUGCAGUUUGAAGCAGCCCAAAUAUCUAUUUUUAUAGCUGAGAAGAGACUCUAACAUGCAGUGUAUGUCAUGGAGAAGCC